CGAGUCCAUUCAACAAAGAGCAGAUGGAGAUGCUACAGAAAUUAUUAAGCCAAGUUGGCAGUGGCAGUACUACCGAUGUAGCCUUCACUGCUAAUCGAGGAGGAAUGAGGCCGUGGAUAGUAGACACAGGUGCUUCUGAUCACAUGACAGGAGAUGCUGCCAUUCUUCAAAAUUACAAGCCAAGUAAUGGUCAUUCAUCCGUCCAUAUUGCUGAUGGUUCAAAGUCAAAAAUUGCCGGGACAGGUUCUAUAAAACUUACUAAAGACUUAUAUCUUGACUCUGUCCUCCAUGUUCCAAACUUGGAUUGCAAUCUUUUGUCCAUUAGCAAAUUGGCUCAUGAUCUCCAAUGUGUUACUAAAUUCUAUCCAAACUUGUGUGUUUUUCAGGACUUGAAAUCGGGGAAGAUGAUUGGCAGUGCUGAACUGUGUUCCGGGCUCUACCUCCUUUCAUGUGGCCAAUUCUCCAACCAAGUCUCUCAAGCAAGUUGCGUACAGUCUCAGAGUAUGUCAGAGUCUUUCAAUUCUGUGUCAAAUUCUAAGGUCAAUAAAGAUAGUGAGAUUAUAAUGUUACACUAUCGCCUUGGUCAUCCUAGCUUUGUUUACCUUGCAAAAUUGUUUCCCAGAUUAUUUAUCAAUAAAAAUCCAGCAUCUUAUCACUGUGAAAUUUGUCAGUUUGCAAAGCAUACUCGAACAGUAUAUCCUCAAAUCCCAUACAAACCUUCGACUGUUUUCUCUCUAGUACAUAGUGAUGUGUGGGGUCCCUCCCGGAUAAAAAAUAUUUCUGGCACUCGAUGGUUUGUGACAUUCGUUGAUGAUCAUACUCGGGUAACAUGGGUUUUCCUUAUGAAAGAAAAGUCAGAGGUCGGGCACAUUUUUCAAACCUUCAAUCGUAUGGUUCAAAAUCAAUUCAAUUCCAAAAUACAAGUCCUCAAGUCAGAUAAUGCAAAGGAAUACUUUACUAGUAGUCUCAGUACUUAUCUUCAAAAUCAUGGCAUUAUCCACAUAAGUUCUUGCGUUGACACCCCACAACAAAAUGGGGUGGCUGAACGCAAGAAUAGACAUCUCUUGGAGGUUGCCUGGUGCCUUAUGUUUUUCUCUAAUGUUCCAAACUAUUUCUGGGGGGAAGCUAUUCUCACAGCUACCUAUUUGAUUAACCGUAUGCCAUCCAGAGUGCUUACCUUUCAAUCCCCAUGUCAACUUUUCUUAAAACAGUUUCCUCACACCCAUGCCGCCUCUUCUGAUUUACCACUCAAAGUAUUUGGUUGUACGGCAUUCGUUCAUGUGUAUCCUCAAAAUCGUAGCAAAUUUGCUCCUCGAGCAAAUAAGUGCAUUUUUCUAGGGUAUUCUCCAACCCAAAAAGGGUACAAAUGCUAUUCUCCAACCAACAAAAGAUUUUACACCACCAUGGACGUCUCUUUCUUUGAACAUGUCUUCUUCUAUCCCAAAUCUCAUGUUCAGGGGGAGAGCAUGAAUGAACAUCAAGUUUGGGAGUCUUUUCUUGAUGGUGUACCUUCUUUUCACUCAGAGUCACCAAAUCCUUCCCAAUUCGCGCCCACUGAGUUGUCCACACCCAUGCCGCCAUCAGUUCAGCCAGCCCAGCACACAAAUGUUCCUUCUCCCGUGACCAUCCAGUCUCCCAUGCCUAUUCAACCUAUAGCCCCACAACUUGCUAAUGAGAACUUACAAGUUUACAUCAGGAGGAGGAAAAGACAGGAAUUAGAGCACGGAUCACAGUCAACAUGUGGCCAAUAUAUUGACUUCAAUUCAAGUCUUCCUGAAGAGAACAUAGGUGAGGAUAGGGCUGGAGAGGUGUUAAUUCCCAGCAUUGAUGAUUCUACUUUGCCAAUUGCAUUGAGGAAGGGUGUUAGGAGAUGUACAGAUCAUCCAAUUGGGAAUUAUGUUACAUAUGAAGGGUUAUCACCAUCUUACAGAGCAUUUGCUACUUCUCUUGAUGAUACUCAGGUUCCCAACACAAUACAAGAGGCGUUAAAAAUUUCAGAAUGGAAGAAGGCAGUACAAGAUGAGAUUGAUGCACUUGAGAAGAAUGGGACGUGGACUAUCACAGAUUUGCCGGUUGGGAAGAGGCCUGUGGGGUGCAAGUGGAUUUUCACCAUAAAAUACAAAGCAGAUGGAUCAGUCGAAAGAUUCAAGGCUCGUUUGGUAGCUAGAGGGUUUACACAAUCCUAUGGGAUAGACUAUCAGGAGACUUUUGCUCCUGUUGCAAAACUGAACACUAUCAGGAUCCUUCUCUCAUUGGCUGUCAAUCAAGAUUGGUGCUUGCAACAACUGGACAUAAAAAAUGCGUUUCUAAAUGGGGACCUAGAAGAGGAAGUCUACAUGGAAAUACCACCUGGUUUCGAAGAAAGUAUGGCAAAGAAUCAGGUUUGCAAACUCCAAAAAUCAUUGUACGGCCUUAAACAAUCUCCUCGAGCCUGGUUUGAUAGAUUCACAAAAGCAGUCCUGAAGCUGGGCUACAAACAAGGUCAGGCUGAUCAUACUCUAUUUGUCAAGAAAUCUCAUGCCGGGAAAUUGGCCAUAUUGAUAGUCUAUGUCGAUGAUAUUAUUCUAUCUGGAAAUGAUAUGGGGGAGUUACAGAAUUUGAAGAAGUAUUUGUCAGAAGAGUUUGAAGUUAAAGACCUUGGAAAUUUGAAAUAUUUCCUUGGUAUGGAAGUGGCUAGAUCAAGGAAAGGAAUCGUAGUCUCUCAAAGAAAAUACAUACUCGAUCUUCUUAAGGAGACCGGUAUGCUUGGAUGCAAACCAAUUGAUACUCCUAUGGAGAGUCAGAAGAAACUUGGUAUCGAGAAAGAAAGUACACCGGUAGACAGGGGGAGAUAUCAGCGGCUUGUCGGGCGCUUGAUUUAUCUCUCACACACUCGGCCAGAUAUUGGCUUUGCAGUGAGUGCUGUAAGUCAAUUCAUGCACAGCCCCACUGAGGAACACAUGGAAGCAGUCUACAGGAUUCUUAGAUAUUUAAAAAUGACACCAGGGAAAGGCCUAUUCUUCAGAAAGACAGAGAACCGUGACACUGAAGUAUACUCAGAUGCGGAUUGGGCAGGAAACAUCAUUGACAGGCGGUCCACUUCCGGAUAUUGUUCUUUUGUCUGGGGAAAUCUUGUUACCUGGAGGAGUAAGAAGCAAUCAGUUGUAGCCAGAAGUAGUGCAGAAGCUGAGUACAGAGCUCUUGCACAGGGAAUCUGUGAAGGGAUUUGGAUAAAAAGGGUUCUUAGUGAACUGGGACAAACGAGUUCAUCUCCAAUUCUGAUGAUGUGUGAUAAUCAGGCAGCUAUAAGCAUAGCAAAGAACCCCGUGCAUCAUGACAGGACCAAGCAUGUUGAGAUUGACAGACACUUCAUCACAGAGAAGGUGACUAGUGAGACGGUCAAAUUAAACUAUGUUCCUACCAAGCACCAAACCGCAGACAUCCUCACCAAAGCUUUACCUAGGCCUAACUUCGAAGACUUAACUUGCAAGCUGGGAUUAUAUGAUAUAUAUUCUCCAGCUUGAGGGGGAGUGUUGAAAUAAUGCCAAAGUUAGGACUUUAAUUUAGGAAUAAAAAAGGAGAGAUCAUUUAGGAUAUUUCCUUAUGAUUUAGUUUCCUAAUUUUAGGAGAGAAUUAAGCUAGAUUGAUUGUUUCUUAUUCAGUCAUUUGUGUAUAUAUAUGUGUAUGGUGUGUACCGAUUCAUUAUCAAUAAAGGAGUUAAGAAAUUCUUCAUAUUGGGACUAAGCUUAAUGGUACCAAUCUCUGCUAUAACUGAAACAGAUCUGUCAACAAUCUUUACCUUAUGAUUUUCAGGGCUAGGAGUAUAAGCAAUAAGAGUUGCUCACAACCUGUCAUAUGGUCUGUUGCCCCAUAAUCUAUGACCCAAGGCUCUCAUUUUUCAGCUAUUCCACUAAGUGCAGUCAAGAAAGUACCUUUUUGUGCCAAGAGAGAGAUAUCAGGCUUUGUUGGAAUUAGCAACUCAUAAAGCUGUUCCAUUUGUUCCUUGUUGAGAUUAAGGCUGGUUGUGAUGUUUCCUUGAGCAUCACAGGCUGUAGCCUCUCCUGACGAUGAUGUGGCAGUUUUAGCUACUUGGAUACCCUUGCUAUCAUAGUUUUCUUGAUUUGUUUGGCACCCAAUUCUCUUGUUUUCCAUGUAUUUUCCAUCAAUGAUCUUUUGAGUGGUAUGGUUUCUGACAAUGAUUGCACUACUGUUGUUCCCUUUUGCUACUGUGAGGGUGUCCUCAGUUUUUUUCGACCACUAGCUGCCAAAACGGAUUUUUUAGUACUUGGCAUGGAUCCAGCAUCUCUAAGCAUCACCCAUUUUCGAAUCUCCUCCCGUUUGACUUCAGCAAAUCCCUCUUCAUUAGCAGGUAGUGGUUUUAUUCUAAGAAUUUGUCUUCGUACUUCAUUGAGUUCUCUAUUGAGUCCUGCAAGAAAAUCAUGGACUCUUUCCUUAUCCAAUAAUUUUUUGUACUGGAUUCCACCUUCUGGGCAGCACCAAUUAGAGUUUGUGGAUAGGUCUAAUUCUUGCCACAACUUUGUCAUAGCAUUGAAAUACUGAGUAACAUCAAGGUCUCCUUGCCUCAUUUUUCGAGCUUUAUUUCUUAGCUCAAUUACUUGAGAAUAAUUUUCUAAAUCUAAGUAUGCCUGAGUCACAACGUCCUAGAUUUCCUUUGUAGUUGGAUAAUACAGAUGUCUCAUUGAUUUUAUCCUCCAUUGAAUGAAUAAGCCAUGUCAUCACCAUUGAGUUCUGAGCAUCCCAUAUUUGGUAUAAGGGAUCAUCUGUGCUCGGUUUGGUUGUGGUGCCAUCUAAAUAGCUCAAUCUCCCCUUCCCACUUAUCACCAUUUGAACAAAGCAUGAAGAAAAUUUUUUCCAUUUAAUUUGUGGGAUGUUAUUUGUAGGGAGGAAUUUUCUAAAAGAACAAUGGGAGCAAUUGUAGGGGUCGUUUGAGAGGAAUUCGAAGAUUCCUCAGAGUCGCCAUCCCUACUUGCUCCAGUCAUUGCCAUUUUGGCCAUCGUUUUCCUCUACUGGAUGCUGACUUUGAUACCAUAAAAGCCAACACAGGAAGAUAACGAACAAAAACACUGUUUAUUUUUUAUUCAUUCUUUAAAAAAAUAAAUUACAAAAUACAAGGAUUUAUAUAUUAGAUUGGGAAAAAACUGAUUCUUUUUUUUCUAGGAGCAAAACAAAAUUUUAAAAUAGAGCAAUUUAAAAAGAAAAAGACUGUAACAAAUUUGAAACCAGCAGAUUUUGAUAAACUGGUUUGAAUUUGAAUCAAACUUUAAUAGAUUUGAAACCAGAAAAUUUGGAUAAUCUGAUUUGAAUUUGAAUCUACCAGCAAAUUUUAUGUGGAAAACCACCCACAAAGUCUCCUAAAGACUUUGCAAAUGUAAAAACCAUAGGGUUAGAGACUGAGAAUUAUUUUUUUUGAUAGGAAACAACAAAUAGAUAUAUUGAUGGAAAAAAGAAGUACAAAAGAAGGAUGAGGAAUCCUCCCACCAAAGAUACAACUAAACAACAACAAUAAAAGAACAAGAAACUGCACUAUGAAAACUAUGAACAAGCUCUCUUGGCCAUACCAUCCCGUUGGAACUACACACUGCUGGCCAAUCUAGUUGUAACACGUUAAGGGGAAUGCCCUUAAAAACCAUGGAACAAAAAGUCCAAAGAGAAGCAAAGAAGUGAAUGGAAUCCCAAAGAUUCACUGAAUUCCUAGCUUUAUCCUCAAAUAUCCUAGCAUUUCUUUCCCGCCACACAACCCAAAUUAAGGCAAUGCAUGCAUUUUGCCACAAAACUAUCUCUCUCUUGGAAAUGCAAAAACCUUUAUAAUUGAUGGACAUCAUGUCAGAAAUACUUCUCGGGGGAACCCAAUCCAUCUUAGCUAGCUGAAAUAAUCUGUGCCACAACCCCAUCGUCAAAGAACAACGGAGGAAAAGAUGAUCUGCUGUUUCUCCUUGUUUCAUACACAACUUACAAAUGUUAGGACUAAGAGCUUUAAAGGGUCUUCUCAAUUGUAGCAAGUCAUUAGUAUUUACGUUUAGUGGGGAUUUUCCCUACUAAGUUUGUAUGAAAUCUUAAACAAGGAAAGAAAGUAGCUAGAAAUGUGGGAAAGGCAUGAAUGGAUAAGAGUUAUCCUACCAUCGAAAGAUAAGUAAGCCUUUUGCCACCUGUCUAAUCUCCUCGAGAUUCUCUCAAUCACUGAAUCCCAGAAUCCACAAGCAAUUGGAUUCCCUCCCAAAGGAAGACCCAGGUAGAGUAUAGGCCAAUCAGAAGCCUUGCAGUCAAGCAACAAGGCCAACCUAGAGAGAUGAUUCUGAUCAAGGUUGAUGCCAAAAAGAUUACUCUUGUCAAGAUUGACCGUAAGCCCAUAAAUUUGCCCAAACACUAACAAUAAACUCUUAAGAGUUUGCAGUUUUUCUGCAUAAGAGUUCAAAAAGAAGAUGGUAUCAUCUGCGAAUUGUAGAUGUGACACCCUUGUUCUAUUCCUACCUACCCUGAAACCCUCCAACAUACUUCUUUCCUCAGCUCUCAACAACAUCUUGUUCAACACAUUUGCGACAAUAGUAAACAGAAAAGGGGAUAGAGGGUCACCUUGCCUUAAUCUUCUAGAUGCCUUGACCCACCCUUUAGCAUUUCCAUUCACUAGAAUAACAUAAGAGACCGAAGACAGACAACCUCUCAUCCAAGUCCUCCAUUUAGCUAAAUAUAAUGAAGAGGAAUACAAAUUUACUUGGUGGUUGCUAGUCCCUGAGACUUACACCUACACUUAAUCUCACGUUAGUGACUUAUCACAAUUAUGCUCCUUAGUAGACUCCUCAACACCUUGAGGGGAUGUGAAUCUUUCUCACGAACCCAAGAAAAAAAAAUCAUAAACUUUUUGAGAGUUUUAGGUUAAGUGCAAAGAAUAAUGAAUAAAUUUUUAGGCGCACAAGUUCUUAAAAAAACUCUUCUAGUAGGUAUAUAUCAAAGAAAACCUAGUGUACUUGGAAUCAAGUUAGAAAUCAUAUUUUACCAAAAAAACAAUUUAGAAACUUAAGAAUUUUAGAAACAUUUGGAAAGUUUUCAUAUUUUAAGUUCAAAAAGAUUUGGAAAGAUUUUCCUUUCAAAAUUCUUAAUUUAAAUUCCUUUCCAAUUUUUUUAAAAGAUUUGGAAAAAUUCUAUUUUUUAAAAUUCUUAAUUUAAAACUCUUUUCCAAAUUAAUUUUAUUAUUUGAGAAGAUUUUUCCUUUUAAAUUCUCUGUGUAAAAUUCCUUUCAAAUGAAUUUUACUCCUAAUUUCCAUUAGUCCACUCUAUGCCUUUUAUGUCAUUAUUCUCACCUAACCACACUUGUUUAAUCUUGGGUGAUUCUGUAGUAACCUUAAAUCUUCAAAGGAGUGUAAAUCAUAGGAAAGUAUGUAGAGCCCUAAACCAGGAUGGAUGGAAUAAAAUCACCAAUUUAAUCUAAAUAGCCUAAUGCACUAACACCUUCAUUAGAGACUUAAGCCACACUAGUUCACAAAUCUCUAUGCCAUUGGUUUAAAUUCAGCUUCAACACUUGACUUUGCCACUAUAGAAUGCUUCUUACUCCUCUAAGUUACUUGGUCCUGACUAGUAAUCUAUUAAAUGGACUUGUGAACCAAAAUAAAAUUUCUUAUAAUCACACUUCCCCAUCUGAUUAGGACAUUUGUAUUGCUGCAUCUUUUCUUGCUCUUUUGAUUCUAGAAUCCUUGAUUUUUAGCUGAUGAUCAUUGAGUUCUGUUUUCUUGCCAUAGUUUAUUAUAAAAUACUUUGCAGUUGUAUAUUCCUACAAGUGGUGAAUUAUUUAUAUGAUUCUAUCACUAUGAUGUGAUUGUCAACAUAAUCCACAUUUUUCUUACUACUAUUAUUUAGCUGAGUCCUAGUACUCUCAAAAUGUGUUGUGGUUGUUUGUUUGUUUGUUUGUUUGUUUUUGCCUCUUCUUUCCUUCUUCUUUUUCCUUUUUUUUUUUUUUUUUAUAUAUUAAUUUUUUUUAUCUAGUAUAUGAUAGUGUUUGUACUAGUUGAACUAUGAUUUAAAAAUUUAAUUCUGAUUUCAAGAUUGGUCAUGAUGUUGGGUUUAGUUCUUCUAGAUUUUUUUUUUGUUCUUUUGGUAUGAAAAGACUAUGAAAUAUAUUCUAUUAAAAGAGGAGCCAUAAUAAUCUUCAAGCCUAGCCUUAUAAUAUCUCUAGAGAAAUUUAUCUCUUCUUCACAGGCUUUAUGGGAACAAAUUGAAACCUUUUCUUGAUGGUGCUGAACAUCUGACGGAGGAUGUUGUAUCUGUAUUUCCGGCAGCUGAUAGUCUUGAGCAGUGUAUAAUAGCAGUUAUCACAACUUCCUGCGAAGAGGGGACUGCAGAUGCCUACUGCAGAAAAUUAACACAAUACCAGGAGGAAGCUCUGGAAAGAGAACCUUGAAUCUUCAAGGUUGAAACUAAAGACACAUCAAAAUUGUUAAUGCAACUUAUUAAGCUGUAGUAGUAAAAAGAAGUGACCCGAAGUUGCACUCAACUUUCUUUGAAGAUGGUGAAUGAGUGUCGAAGCUAGAAGAUGAUGAAUAGGAAGAUGGUGAAGGUAUUGGUUGAGAGGAAGACUUUCUUGAUUAGGUUGGAAGGCAAGCAAGGAGGCGAAUGGUGCUUGAUAACAGAGAUAAGUAGAGGCUCUGUUUUUGCAUUAGGUUUUGAAAAGGAAGCAGUUGAGUGGUUGGUUGAUUAUUUGACGAAAGCCUUAGCACUGAAGAGUCAUAUGGGUUUCAACAAAAAAUUCAGAGGAAAAUGCAGGGUGCAUCUGAUGGAAGUGGGCUUCAACAACCAUGGAAGGUUCAUUAGGAUCUCGGAGUAUGUUACCAACAGAAAGCCUUCCGUUCUGAUCAUUCCUGAGGGCGACAAGGGCAGAGGUUGGGAGAAUAUAAAACAUGCGUUAUCUUCUUUGUUGGUGGCCCAUUAUCCGAAAAUAUUAGAAAAAGGAAGGAAUAUAAGAGGGGAAAGCUGGUCUCACAAAUAUGAGGGAUCGAUGCACAGAUCAUAUGCGAAGGUAGUCAGUGAUGAAGGACCAAGAGGAGGUGGUCUAGUUCCAAUUGGGAGAUGGGCGCGUGCUGUGGUGUGUGAAAGCAAGUUUGACAGGGAGAAUUGGGCUGAGGUUGGAAGAUCAGUGGCGAGAAGCUUAGGGAAGAAAGGUGUGGUAACGGUUGUACCCAUUUCAGCUAGAAAUGGAGUAUUCUUCGUUGAAACAAUUGAGGAAGCCAUAUUCCUCCAUGAUUUGAGGAAGAUAAAGGUUGGGGAAAGGAACAUCAUCCAGUUGCGAAGAUGGUCGCCGAAGGAGAACGCGGAAAUAGACGGGAAGUUUAGAGAAGGCUGGAUCGAGUUACGGGGGCUGCCAUUUCACCUAUGGUCGGAGGUACACCUGAAGAAGAUUGUGGAGCAAUGGGGGACAGUAAAUGAAAUCGAUUGGCGCACGUUGAAGCUGUUCGAUCUCAGUAGGGCGAGGUUAAAGAUCGCAAUGAGGGAUAAGGCAAUCCUUCCAGCUUUGUUAGAAGUGUCUGAUGGGGAGUGGGUGUUUACGGUCGUUGUCGUAGUGGUCGGAGACGAAGAAGGAAGGAGAGGUGGCGAAAAAGGUGAGUCGACUCGGGUGGCUGGCGCUUCUCACUCGGGGACAGAUGGAGGAAAACGAGGGGAGAGUGGAAGAUCAACGGCGGGAGGGAGAUGUCGUGUCGGGGAAGACAACAGACAAAGAAAGGAGGGAGAAAAGGGUAGGGCUAUGAUUACCUUAGCCGGCAAGUGUGACAAGGGCCACCAACUCCCAUCACAGUCUUGUUUGAAAACAGAUGGGAUAGACGGGAUCGAAGCAACAGGAGGAGAGUGGGCCGGAGAAGACGAAGCUAUUACCGAUGUGGGCUGUCGGGCCUGUGAGAGGAAGGCCCAGUCGCUGGCAAGGCCUGGGCUAAGUGCAGUUAUAACGGGCUGCAAGCUUAAAGGCCCAAUGGGGUUGGGCCUAAGUCCAGAAGGGCUCACUCCUUUUGUGACUGGGACGUCGUUACGCAAGGAAGAAGACUCUUCUUCUGCAAUCGAAAAGGGGAAACCAGACCCCGGACCCCUCGAGGUCCAGUCGAGCAGGCUAGCGAAGAAGAAGGUGCUGCACAGUUCAAGGAAGAUGUGGUCAACCUUCUUUCCCCCAAGCUCAGAGCAACGACGGGGAAUCCGGUGUAGCAGCGAGCCCUUUUCGAGCGGAAAGACCAAGGUGGAUAGCGAAGGGGACUCAAGGGCAGAAGAUUCAGGUGCCGAAUCUCAGACGAAAAGAGGUUUAAGUGCAAGCUCUCUUUUUUCUCCUCGAUUUCCAAGGCCCCGCAAGAAGAAUUUAGGGGAAAGGGCUUCGGCGCCGAGAAAGGAAGAGAUUUCGAACAAUGCUUCAUCUGGCGAAGAUAUGGAAGGAUUUUUGGGCCGAGUGGAGUCUGAUCCUCGAGGCUCAGCAGUCAUGGGUAUGCCUUCUUCGCCAAUAACCAGAGGUAAAGGGCCUAACUUGUUGGGGAAUUGUGGUUCGAUGGUUACGGAAUCUCUGGAGGUAACGCCUUAUCUUUUUCAGUCUACCCAGCAAUAUUUUCCUUCUUCCAGUGGCCUCACUAAUUCUCUCUUGAACCCUUCUGUCUCCAUUCCGAGUCCUUCUACUCCCUUGCUUCCCGUUUCAGCUUCUCAAUCCUUGGCCCCUUCGGAAAACCGAGUAAAUUCCGAAUUUUUUUUCAAAAAAGCCAACGAUGCUUUUAAUGGUCAAACUACUGUUGAUAUCCCUAAUUCAGAAAUGGAGGUGAUCCAGCCUGCUUGUCCCAACCAGAUGUGUGAGAGUGUCAACCCUCUCUCAGCUUCCAGUGAGGCUGCAGUUAACCUGGGUGGCAUUGCGGGCUCUCCUAAGGGAGAGUUCCAAAUAGAAGGACUUUCCCCCAGGAGAAUGGAAAAAGUAUGUGAGGUUUUAAAGUCUCUGGAUAUCAAGGUGUAUUCCAGGAGGAAGAGCAGAUGCUCUACAGGAUUGUGAGACCAAUUGGAUUUGGAUCGGGAUCAGGGUCAGAGUGUUUCACAUGAAGAUAAUCAGUUGGAAUACCAGGGGUUUGGGUUCUAAGAAAAAGAGAAGGGUGGUCAAGAAUUUUCUGAGUUCAGAAAAGCCGGAUGUAGUGAUGAUUCAAGAAACUAAAAAGGAGGAGUGUGACAGAAGGCUAGUGGGUAGUGUUUGGUCAGUCAGAAAUAAGGAAUGGGCAGCCCUUCCGGCGAGUGGGGCUUCGGGUGGGAUUUUGAUCAUUUGGGACUCUAAAAAGUUGCGUAGGGAGGAGGUAGUGUUAGGCUCUUUUUCGGUCUCAAUCAAGUUCGCGAUGGACGGAUGCGAAUCUUUGUGGCUAUCUGCAGUUUAUGGCCCAAACAACUCAGCUCUUAGGAAGGAUUUUUGGGUGGAGCUUUCAGACAUUGCUGGGAUCUCUCAUCCGCGUUGGUGUGUGGGCGGCGACUUUAAUGUUAUAAGGAGAAGUUCAGAAAAAUUGGGAGGUUCUAGAUUAACCCCAUGCAUGAAGGAUUUUGAUGAAUUCAUAAGAGAUUGCGAAUUGAUAGAUUCACCUUUAAGGAGCGCAUCAUAUACUUGGUCAAACAUGCAAGAGAAUCCAGUAAGCAAGAGAUUAGAUCGCUUCUUGUACUCAAAUGAGUGGGAACAAGUAUUUCCUCAAAGUCUUCAAGGAGUACUGCCAAGAUGGACUUCAGAUCAUUGGCCGAUUGUUUUGGAAACUAAUCCAUUCAAGUGGGGAUCAACGCCUUUCAGGUUUGAGAAUAUGUGGUUGCAACAUUCUAGUUUUAAGGAGAAUUUUGGAAGAUGGUGGAGUGAGUUUCAAGGAAAUGGGUGGGAAGGGCACAAGUUCAUGAGGAAAUUACAGUUCGUUAAAGCCAAAUUGAAAGAGUGGAAUAAGACUUCUUUUGGAGAGCUAAGUAAAAAGAAAAAAGAUAUUUUAGCUGUUUUAGCUAACUUUGAUUCCUUGGAGCAAGAAGGGGGACUAUCCCAUGAACUUUUAGUCCAAAGAGCUUUAAGUAGAGGGGAGCUAGAGGAGUUGAUUUUGAGAGAAGAAAUACAUUGGAGACAAAAAGCUAGGGUGAAAUGGGUAAAAGAAGGGGAUUGCAACUCAAAAUUUUUUCAUAAGGUGGCCAAUGGCAGACGAAAUAGGAAAUUUAUCAAGGAGUUGGAGAAUGAAAGUGGCCUAAUGUUGAAUAAUCCAGAGAGUAUAGAAGAGGAGAUCUUAAGGUAUUUCGAAAAGCUUUAUGCGAGUCCUUCUGGAGAAUCGUGGAGAGUGGAAGGCUUAGAUUGGUCCCCUAUUGAUGGUGAGAGUGCAUCCAGGUUGGAAUCCCCCUUUACUGAAGAAGAGAUUUAUAAGGCCAUUUUUCAGAUGGACAGGGAUAAGGCUCCUGGGCCAAAUGGCUUUACCAUUGCAGUGUUUCAAGAUUGUUGGGAUGUGAUAAAGGAGGAUCUAGUGAGAGUGUUUGCAGAAUUCCAUAGGAGCGGAAUUAUCAAUCAGAGUACCAACGCCUCCUUUAUAGUCUUGUUACCCAAAAAAAGCAUGUCAAGGAGAAUCUCAGACUUUAGACCCAUUAGCUUGAUCACUAGUCUUUACAAGAUAAUAGCCAAAGUGUUAGCAGGACGUCUAAGAGGGGUACUUCACGAGACCAUUCAUUCCACUCAAGGAGCCUUCGUGCAAGGGAGACAAAUUUUGGAUGCAGUUCUCAUAGCCAACGAGAUAGUGGAUGAGAAAAGAAGAACAGGGGAGGAAGGAGUUGUAUUCAAAAUUGACUUUGAAAAGGCCUAUGAUCAUGUGAGUUGGGAUUUUUUGGAUCAUGUGUUGGAGAUGAAAGGGUUUAGUCUUAGAUGGAGGAAAUGGAUGAGAGGUUGCUUGUCCUCGGUUUCUUAUGCAGUCCUAGUGAACGGUAAUGCGAAAGGGUGGGUUAAGGCAUCUAGAGGUUUAAGACAAGGCGACCCUUUAUCACCUUUUUUGUUCACUAUAGUGGCAGAUGUAUUGAGUAGGAUGUUAUUGAAAGCUGAGGAGAGGAACGUCUUGGAGGGCUUCAGGGUGGGCAGGAACAGAACAAGGGUAUCCCAUUUACAAUUUGCAGAUGAUACCAUUUUCUUUUCCAGUACUCGAGAAGAGGAUUUGAUGACACUUAAGAGUGUUCUGCUAGUGUUUGGACAUAUUUCCGGUUUAAAAGUUAAUCUUGACAAAAGCAACAUCUAUGGCAUUAAUCUUGAACAGAAUCACCUUUCUAGACUGGCCGAGAUGCUUGACUGCAAGGCUUCUGGGUGGCCUAUACUAUAUCUAGGUCUUCCUCUAGGAGGGAAUCCUAAGGCAAGUGGCUUUUGGGAUCCUGUGAUUGAGAGGAUAUCAAGGAGAUUAGAUGGGUGGCAGAAGGCGUAUUUAUCUUUUGGAGGUAGGAUAACACUCAUUCAAUCUUGUCUAACCCAUAUGCCAUGUUACUUUCUCUCCCUGUUUAAGAUUCCCGCCUCAGUGGCAGCAAAAAUUGAGAGAAUGCAAAGAGAAUUUUUAUGGUCAGGCGUAGGGGAAGGAAAAAGAGACCAUUUGGUUAAUUGGGACGUUGUGUGCAAGCCGAAGUCGAGAGGGGGUUUGGGUUUUGGAAAGAUUUCUAUGAGGAAUGUCGCUCUUUUAGGGAAGUGGUUGUGGAGGUAUCCUAGGGAGGGUUCAGCUCUAUGGCAUCAGGUUAUCUUAAGCAUUUAUGGAUCACACUCCAAUGGCUGGGAUGUCAACAAUAAUGUUAGAUGGUCUCAUCGUUGUCCUUGGAAGGCCAUUGCACUUGUCUUCCAAGAGUUUUCCAAGUUUACUCGGUUUGUGGUAGGGGACGGGGAUAGAAUUCGGUUCUGGGAUGACUUGUGGUGGGGGGAUCAACCUUUGGGAACCCAAUAUCCAAGAUUACUUAGAGUAGUCACGGAUAAAAAUGCUCCUAUUUCAUCAAUUCUCGGGUAUUCCCGUCCUUUCUCUUGGAAUUUCAAUUUUCGCCGAAAUCUUACUGAUUCUGAGAUAGAAGAUUUAGAAAGCCUCAUGCGGUCUCUUGAUCGUCUACACAUAUCUCCUUCGGUUCCAGAUAAGAGAUCCUGGUCCAUAUCUCCUUCAGGUCUCUUCACAGUCAAAUCUUUCUUUCUGGCCUUAUCCCAAUAUUCCGAGUCGCCUCCAGUGUUCCCUACUAAGUUUGUCUGGAAUUCUCAAGUCCCUUUCAAAGUCAAGUCCUUUGUCUGGUUGGUGGCGCACAAGAAGCUUAAUACUAAUGACUUGCUACAAUUGAGAAGACCCCACAAAGCACUUAGUCCCAACAUAUGUAAGUUGUGCAUGAAGCAUGGAGAAACAGUAGAUCACCUUUUCCUCCAUUGCUCGUUGACCAAGGGGUUGUGGCACAGAUUAUUUCAGUUAGCAAAGAUGGAUUGGGUUUCCCCAAGGAGCAUCUCUGACAUGUUUUUUACUAACUUUAAUGGUUUCGGUUCUUCUAAGAGAGGGGUUGUGUUAUGGCAAGACGCGUGCAUCGCGUUAAUGUGGGUGGUGUGGCGGGAAAGAAAUGCAAGGAUUUUUGAGGAUAAAGCAAGAAAUUCAGGGUUUUUUUGGGAUUCUAUUCGUUUUUUGGCUUCUCUAUGGGCUUUUUGUUCUAAGGUUUUUAAAGGGAUACCUCUUAACAUGUUAUAACUUGAUUGGUUAGCGGUGUGUAAAUAGACCGUUUGCUUAUUCUCUCGUUGUAUUUCUUAUAUUUGAUUCUUGUAGUCUUGUUUUUCUUUGGUGAGAGGAUUUCUCAUCCUUCUAUUUGUACCUUCUUUUUAUCAAUAUAUUCCGUUGACGUUUCCUAUCAAAAAAAUAUCUCUAGAGAAAUUUGACUUCCAAAUCAUAGGCUCUGCUAUGCAAAAAUUCCUUUCUUUGCUAAACAAUCUAUUGUUUAUCUGUUCCUUAUAAAUAUGGUAACAUUUGUAAAUAUUGAACUUUUGAGUUAACUUCCAAAUAUCCUCCAAGUUAUGGAAUUUAGUUCUUGAUGUCUUAUGAUGGGAUAAGGAUAUAUUCUUAACAUAGAAUAGUAUAUAUACACAAAAAAACCAAAAAUGCUUGGAAAAAAAAAAUUCAAUGAGUUCUCUAUCCCAGGUAGCGUUGAAACUCUUGUUAAAAAUGGUAUGAAUCUAUUAUAGGAGAUACGCUUUUAGAUGGAUCCAUAUAUAUAACAUUGCAAAUUUUCUGUAUCUGACACAGUACUUGAAAUGCCUCUAUUUUAUCAUUACAAUGAACAGGAUCAGGGAUUUCUUCAAUGGAAUAUUGCUGAAGGAGAAGAUGGGAAUUUGUUAUUGAGGGAAGAAGGUAGAUAUAACAGUUGUCAUUUAUUCUUAUCUGGAGAAGACAACUCACCAAUAACCUCUGCACCAGUUUCCGCAAAUGUAAGUUCUUAAAUAUAUUUUCAAGAAAUUGAUUCAUUUUUAUACAUUUGGUGACGUAUCAUUUUUAGGUUGUAUUUUUUUUUUAAUCAUGAUUCAUGGAUAUCAAUAGUUUAGUUUAGAAAAAUUCAAGUUAUUUAAUUCUAUUAUUUAUCCAACAUACGCUGAAGGGCCAUACAAUGUGGUGUUAAUUACUUUGGAAGUCAAUUAUGGAAUCAUGUUUUGAGCGCUUGUGCUGUCACUUCAUGCAAAAUGUCUUGAGGCAUAAUCCAUUACCACUUUAUCUGUCCCAAAACCCUAAAAAAUGGGACUGACACUGUUUAAUGCCUUUUAAUCAACAUAUAUUGAGGUUCUUUAAAUCUUGUAAUUGAAAGAAAGUACCCACUUUUUCCUUGAUGAAUUAUAAUCUUCAUGUAAUCCUCAUUGAAUAUCUUUGUGAUACAUGCUUUAUAGGAUUGUGAAAAACUCCAAAUAUUUUUAUAAAUUCCAAAUUUCUUUGGCUUUUUUUAAACAAACAAAGACCAAAUUUAUUGAAUAUAUUCCAAUGAUUCUGCAUUAUUUCAAAAAGACCCUAAGCCAAUUAAUAAUUCUUGAGUUAUUUAUGAAAUUCCAAAUCGUUUCAAAUAAUUAAUGAACAGAAAAUGUUGGUAUUUUCUUCGUGCUUAGUCCUGUACUUGAAUUUACUCUUGGAUAUUCUCUAGUUCAUUCCUGGUAUUUUUCCUGAAUAAUUUCCUAAUUCAUAUUUUAUCUGAUGUUGAUGAUUUCUGAGUCCUUGUUGUCAUUCUCUUUUAUUUCUGUUAUAUGCAUGGCUUUUCAAACAUUGGAAGUAAUGAUUCAUUCCACAAACAGCCUAGAAUUUGUUCUUGGCCUUGGUUGUCAUGAGAUAAUUUUGGUCAAUAAGACAUAUCAUUUGUUUCUUGAUGUGAAGUAAAGCAUUGCACUCUGAUAUAGAGAUGUUGGUCAAGAUUUUGAUGAAUUUAUUUGUUGUAUUAUAGUUCUGAGUAUAAAUAUAUUGUUAGAACCAAGAAACAAAGGACUUAAAACCUACCACUAUUGAUUAUGAAAACUAUCGAUGUGGAAGGAAAAACUCAACAUUCCACCAUCCAUUAUAAUGAUUACAUUCCCCUUUACAUAUAGAUGAUAAUACUCAUCUAUUUUAGGGAUAUUUACAACUUAUAAAAAAAAAUCAAAACUACCUAAAACAGAAAUGGAUUUGGUAACAGAUUACCAAAUCCCAUAAAAUCAUGGGAUAAGAAAAGAUGAUUUGUUAGCUGUAGAUAUCCUCAAUCUUAGCCCUUAACAUUGUUGACAAAUCAUCAAAUUAAAUCUUCCUAUAAUUUUACACUCCCCCUCAAGCUGGGCGUAAAUAUUUAUUAACCCCAGCUUGGAACUCAGAUCAUCAAACACCUUUCUCGGUAGAGCCUUGGUAAGAAUGUCAACUAUUUGAAGGCUUGUAGGCACGUACAACAUCUUGAUUAUUCCUUUCUCUAUCUUCUCCUUUAUGAAAUGUCGAUCAAUUUCCACAUGUUUUGUUCUAUCAUGAUGUACUGGAUUUUUUGCAAUGCUGAUUGUUGACUGAUUAUCACAGAACAUUUUCAUAGGUUCUUCAUCUGAAAUCUUUAAUUCCUUUAGCACCCUUCUUAACCAUAUUCCCUCACAAAUGCCGUGUGCCAUUGCCCGGAAUUCAGCUUCUGCACUGCUCCUUGACACCACUGAUUGCUUCUUACUUCUCCAUGUGACCAGAUUACCCCACACAUAUGUGCAGUACCCUGAAGUUGAUCUUCGGUCUUGUACUGAUCCUGCCCAAUCUGCAUCGCUGAACACUUCAAUAUCUCUUCUUUGGUUCUUCUCAAAAAAUAAUCCUUUACCUGGUGUUAGUUUCAGGUAUCUCAAGAUUCUAUGCACAGCCUCCAUGUGUUCUUCAUUUGGAUUAUUCAUGAAUUGACUUACCAUGCUGACAGAAAAACCAAUAUCUGGUCGUGUGUGAGAUAGGUAUAUUAGUUUACCUACUAAUCUUUGCUAUCUCCCUUUAUCCACGGGUGCACAAUUUUCCUUAGCUCCUAGUUUGGUUGUUGGAUCCAUAGGAGUAUCUGCUAGCUUACACCCAAGCAUUCCAGUCUCUUUUAAGAGAUCCAGGACAUAUUUUCUUUGUGAGACAGAGAUUCCCUUUCUUGACCUUGCAAUCUCCAUACCUAGGAAGUAUUUGAGAUUCCCAAGGUCCUUGAUCUCAAAUUUUGCAGCUAGAAAACUUUUGAUGGUGCGGAUUUCCUCUUCUUAAUCUCCCGUUAGAAUUAUGUCAUCCACAUAUACAAUGAGGACAGCAAGCUUUCCUGCAGGAGAGUGUUUAACAAAUAGAGUAUGGUCUGUCUGACAUUGGGAGUAGCCAUGUUUCUUAACUACCUUUGUGAAUCUUUCAAACCAGGCUCUUGGAGAUUGCUUGAGCCCAUAUAGAGAUCUUCGAAGUUUACAAACUUUGUUGCGCGUAGUUUGUGUCUCAAAUCCUGGAGGAAUUUCCAUGUAAACUUCUUCAGCUAGGUCCCCAUUUAGGAAUGCACUCUUGACAUCUAGUUGGUGGAGAGGCCAGUCAAGGUUUGCAGCUAAAGAUAGUAGAACCCGAACCGUGUUUAACUUGGCUACAGGGGCAAAUGUCUCCUCAUAGUCGAUUCCGUAUGAUUGGGUGAAUCCCUUUGCAACCAGCCGUGCCUUGAAUCGAUUAGCACUCCCAUCUUCAUUAUAUUUGACUGUGUAGAUCCAUUUGCAGUCCACUGGGCGUUUUCCAGCUGGUAAUUAUGAGAUUUCCCAGGUUCCAUUUUUUUCAAGUGCAUGAAUUUCUUCAUACACAGCUGAUUUCCACUCAGGUGAGCCGAGAGCUUCUUGUAUAUUAUUAGGAACCUGGAUGUUGUCGAGGUUGGCAACAAAUGUUUUGAACUUCGGUGAUAGUCCUUCAUAUGACACAAAUGUGUAUAUAGGGUGUUUUGUGCAUGAUCUUACACCUUUUCUCACAGCAAUAGGAAAGUCACUAUCAUCAUUAGUUUCGGGAUUAUAGUUACCUGAUGGAUCUUCACUUGAUCUAGAACUUGGGUCAGACUCUUGGGUUGGCUCAAGAGAUGCUUGUUGUUCCAUCUCCUUUUGGUUAUGUCUCCUUCUUGAGUAGGUAAUCAGCUCAUCAUUCUUUGUUGAUUGAAUAGUGUCCAGAUUUUGAGAAGGUGGAUUAGUAGGCGGAUUGUUGGUUUGAUCUUGAGGAGAUUCUAGGAAGUAAGGAGACUCAAGGAAGAGAUUUUGAGGAGGAAUUGAUUCAUGAUUUAGUGAUGGGUAGGGUUGGUCAGAAUUAGGAGAGAAAUGAGAUGAUUCUUCAAUAUCCCAAAGCUGGUAUUCCUGGAUAAAGUUAGUUUCCCCCUGAAUAUCAGAUUUGGAGAAAUAAGAUUGUUGCUCAAAGAAGGUGACAUCCAUGGAGUGAUAGAACUGUUUAGUGACUAGUGAGUAGCACUUAUAUCCUUUUUGAGUUGGAGAGUACCCAAGGAAAAUACAUUUAAGAGCUCUAGGAUCAAGUUUGUCCCUGUGUUGUUGAUGGACAUGGACAAAAGCUGAGCACCCGAAAACUUUGAAUGGGAUUGUUGAGAUUAGACGAGUAUUGGGAAAGGACUGAAGAAGAAUUUGACAAGGAGUCUGGAAAUCGAGAAUACGAGAUGGCAUCCUAUUUAUGAGAUAGGCAGCAGUGAGGAUGGCUUCACCCCAGAAAAAUUUUGGUACAUGGGUAGAGAACAUUAGGGAACGAGCAACAUCAAGAAGAUAUCGGUUUUUUCUUUCGGCAAUACCAUUUUGUUGAGGAGUGUUGACACAGGAACUUUGGUGAACUAUACCAUGACUCAAGAGAUAAUCAUUAAGAAUGGAGUUGAAAUACUCUUUGGCAUUGUCAGUUUUCAGAAUUUGGAUUUUUGCUUGGAAUUGUGUUUGGAUCAUGGUGUUGAAGGUUUUGAAAAUCUGGUUUGCCUCUGAUUUUUCUUUCAUGAGGAAUACCCAUGUGAGUCUAGUGUGAUCAUCAAUAAAUGAAACGAACCAGCGAGAACCAGUAACAUUUUUUAUCCUAGAAGGACCCCAUACAUCACUAUGAAUCAUGGAAAAAGGUUGAGAUGCUUUGUAGGAUCGGUUAGGAUAAGAAUUACGAAUAUGUUUAGAAAAUUGAUAGAUCUCACAUUGAAACUCAUUUGGAUUUUUAUUAUGGAAUAAUGAAGGAAACAACUUCUCAAGAUACAAGAAAUUUGGAUGACCUAACCUAUAGUGCCACAACAUAACUGCACUAUCAUUAUUAGACUGACUCACAGACAAAGAAAUAGGACUACUGGACACUGAACAAUCAGAAUGAUGAGUUGAUCCUUGAGGAGGAUCAUUAACCUCUAGAAGAUAGAGCCCCGAACACAUCUUAGCACUGCCAAUCGUCUUCCCCGAGUCCAAGACCUGAAAUUCACACAGAUUUGAGCCAAACUUAGUAACACAGUUGAGAUCCCGAGUGAGUUUACUAAUGGAUAGUAAAUUGCAAUUUAAUUUUGGCACAAGGAGAACUGAAUCAAGGGUGAUGUUCUUUGAAACUCUAACAGAACCUGUACCAGCCACCUUUGAGAGUGAACCAUCGGCUAUUCUCACAGUUAAAUUUUUAUAGCAUGGAUUGUAAGUAGAAAAAAGCUUCUCAUCUCCAGUCAUAUGAUCAGAUGCUCCCGAGUCUAUAAUCCAUGGACUUAACUUCUCCUUUUUAACAUUUAGAGCAUUCAAAAAAUUACCUUUUUGUGCCAAGGAACCAGUACCAACCACAGUGGGGACAGCUGCAGGCAAGGAUUGGCUGAACAAUUUCUGUAGGACUUCUAUCUGUUCCUUGCUGAAGGGAGUGGGUUCGGGUGAUGGUUUUUCAUCCAUGGAGACGAGGUUGCCCCGUCCUUCUUUGUCAUUGGCAAACCGGGAAGGCUUCCAAUCUGCAGGUUUGCCAUGAAUCUUCCAGCAGGUGUCCUUGGUGUGACCAGGACGUCGGCAAUGAUCACACCAUGGUCGCCCUUUCUUCGGUUUGUGAUCAUUGUUGUUAAAUGGAUUUCCUUUAACUGCAAGGGCUGAGCUCUCAGGAUUUGUCACAGAAUCUUGAGAGCCCAUCAUGAUCUUCUUUUGACUUUCCUCUCUCCGAACUCCUGAAAAUGCUUCCCGGAUAUUUAGUAGUGGUUUGGAUCCUAAGAUUCUUCCUCGUACUUCAUCGAGAUUCUUAUUUAAUCCAAUCAGAAAUUUGUAUAUUCUUUUCCGUUCAAUAAUCUGUUUAUACCUGAUUCCACCCGGACAGCUCCAAUUGUGGUCCUCGAACAGGUCCAGCUGCUGCCAGUAGCAAUUGAGUGUGUUGAAAUACUGAGUCACCGUUAACUCUCCUUGGCGGAAGUCAUGGAGAACACUCUCCACCUCGAACAAUUCCAAUGUAUUCUCAUUGUUGGAAUACGUUUCCUUGGCAGCGUCCCAAAUCUCCUUUGCUGUUCCAUAGAGAAGAAAAUUUUCUCCAAUGUCAUUUGUCAUGGAAUUAAUGAGCCAUGACAUGACCAUAUUAUUUUCAGCAUUCUAGACUUUGAACUUUUCAUCUGUCUUGUUUGGUUUGGCAGCAACUCCAUUGAGAUAAUCGUCUUUGCCCUUUCCGCAUAUGAACAUCAUUACGGAAUGGGACCAUUGGAGAUAGUUGUUCCCAUUCAGUUUGUGUCCUGUAAUGGGCAUGAGGUUACUAUCUGCACUACUAUUGCUGGAAGCCAUGGCUUCCUGAUUGGAGGUGAUUUGGGAAACAGUAGCAGUUGAAUUAUGUUUGCCGUAUUUGGUCAUAUGAGGGAAUUAGGGUUCAGAGAAUGCUCUGAUACCAUAUCGAUGUGGAAGGAAAAACUCAACAUUCCACCAUCCAUUAUAAUGAUUACAUUCCCCUUUACAUAUAGAUGAUAAUACUCAUCUAUUUUAGGGAUAUUUACAACUUAUCAAAAAAAAAUCAAAACUACCUAAAACAGAAAUGGAUUUAGUAACAGAUUACCAAAUCCCAUAAAAUCAUGGGAUAAGAAAAGAUGAUUUGUUAGCUGUAGAUAUCCUCAAUCUUAGCCCUUAACAUUGCUGACAAAUCAUCAAAUUAAAUCUUCCUAUAAUUUUACAAAAACCAUGAUUUUUUGCUCCAUUUUCCUUGAAUAUUGAAGAGGGACAUUCCUUUUUCUGCUGGAGAUGAUUAAGAAAAUAAAGGCUGAAUCUGUCUCAGGCAUAAAAGUUAGAAACUUAAGGAUGUGAAGCAUAAAACUUUGGAUGGUUUUCUUUUAUUAAAAAUGAAGGUGUGAAACAUAAGCUAUUGAAUGUUUUUCUUUUAUUGGAAAAAUGUUGCAGAAAAUAGAGUAAUUAACAUAUAUCCUUAGAUAAUGAUCAAAAUUUGAAAAUUUGAUGGAAUUUUUUUAACAGGUUUGGACCUAAAUAAAGAACAUAACCAGGGAUAUGUCCUUAAUGUUUGUUGUAUUUCUUCUCCUGCACGUCUUUUCCAAUUCUAAAUUUUUUGAAUUUCUGAUGAGCUCUUGAAUUACGCCUGUUGUAUACUACAGACAUAACAAGUGGAUAGAAUAUGAUUUACUAAUUUGGGCACAUCUACUCAAAAUAUUUCAAUAAUUGUAAUUGUUAUUUUUGAUAAAAAGGUCAUAAAAUAUUGUUAGUGUUAUCAGAACAUGGAUGUAAGAUGAAGGAUAAGAGGCUCUUAAAAUCAAGGAAAAUAAAGCAAAAUGAAACUGAAAUUGGCAAUGCUUUUGCUGCACACUGGCCUAACAUACAGUGCUUUUCCCCCUCCCAAUUUCAUUCUUCAAAUAUUCCUGACUUAUUUAUGCAUGUUAUUUUCCUGAAAUACCUGAUGACAACAGAUUCAACUACUCUAUUUUCUGUCCUGUGUGGUUUUUUUAAUAGGCAAAGAGCAAUAUAUUAACAGGUGCCUAGCAAAAAGCAGGGGCACCACCCAUGUAAAUUGGGAGUAUGCAGAGAGCACUUAAAAAGGACACAAAAGAAAAAGAAAGAAAGAAAGAAGAAAGGAAGAGAAAGGAACUACCAUCUACUCCAUGCUUAAGGCAUUUACAAUGUCCUAACAAUUGAGAAUUUCCUAUCCCCAAGGGGACCGAACAUUUCAAAAGAGAUUUGGAGAAGAACUCUUUCAAACUCUAAUUAGAGAGCUUCUUCUCAUUAAAUACUCUUCUGUUCGACUCUCCCCAUAAACACCAGAACAAGUGCAGGGGGGUGGCAAUUUCCACACUUUUGUUUGGUGUUAGCCCAAACCCCUCACAUGGCAUUUUUCAGGGAGAUCCUUAACUGCCUGAGGAAGUAACCACUUAGUACAUGUUGAAAUUUGGCAUUCAAAGUUAGGGUUUUAAUUUAGGAAAGUAUUUUAGGAAUAAAAAAGGAGAGAUCAUUUAGGAUGAUUCAGUUUCCUAAUUUUAGGAGAGAAUCAAGCUAGAUUGAUAUUUUCUUAUUAAGUCAUUUGUGUAUAUAUAUGUGUAUGGUGUGUACCUAAAAAAUAAAUAAAGGAAUUCAGAAAUUCUUCAUGGUAUCAGAGCCAGUUUUCUGAAACCCUAAUCCCUUCUGGCCACCUCUUAUUCAGGCCAUCAUUCAUUCUGGCCAAAUCUCUCUGGCCAUCUCUCAAUCCGACCAUCUCUCUCUCUGGCCAUCUCUCAUUCCGGCCAUCAGUCCCUGUUCUCAGAGCCAGGGGAGAAAACGCUUUCCGGUCGAUCGAAUCGUCGUCAGAAGACAUUCACCGCCGGCAACUUCUCCGGCGAACUUUUCCGGCGACGGUUUUUUUCUACACCGCAAGGAGCGCCUAGAGGAGAUCUCCAAUUUUUCCCAAAGCACCGUAGCUAGAAAACCAUCCACGCACGUUUUUUCGGCCGGUGACUGCAUCUCACGCGCCGGCGCGUGAGCCACUUUUCGGCGACGCGCUUCCUCCUCCAGGCUCGCCUGACGCCGACCAGCCACCCUUCUUACCUGUUUUUGCCAUCCGAGCCCUGCACGUGCCUCUUUUGGGGUUCUUUUGCCUCCGCAGGCCCUCCGAUCAGUUUUUCCGGCAUCCUUCGGCUAUUUUUUCUCAACUCCAAUCCCUGCACGUGCCUUGGGAAGUGUUCUUCUACUUUUCCGGUCCAUGACAAAAUACGGAAUGGCAUCAUCACAAGUAUCCAGCGUCACGUCACCAAAAUCAGGGGGCAGAUCUGAAAUUCCAAACCUUGGUGGCAGUGAUUCCUCUCCUAUUCUCAUCACAGGACACAAAUUAAAUGGCCAUAACUAUUUACAGUGGUCACAAUCUGUGUUGCUGUUCAUUUGCGGUAAAGGAAAGGGUGAGUACCUCACUGGAGAAGCAGCCAUGCCAGAAACUACAGAACCGGGUUUCAAGAAGUGGAAGAUUGAAAACAGCAUGAUCAUGUCAUGGCUUAUCAAUUCCAUGAACAAUGACAUACGUGAAAAUUUCUUGUUGUUUGGGACUGCAAAGGACAUAUGGGAUGCAACCAAAGAAACUUACUCAAGUUCUGAAAAUACUUCAGAACUUUUUCAGGUUGAAUCAGCCCUACAUGACUUCCGCCAAGGAGAGCAGACAGUUACUCAGUAUUACAACACACUCACAAGGUAUUGGCAGCAUCUUGACUUAUUCGAGACUCACUCAUGGAAAUGUUCUGAUGAUGCAACAACAUAUAGGAAAAUUGUGGAACAAAAGAGACUGUUCAAAUUUUUCCUAGGACUAAACAGGGAAUUGGAUGAUGUUAGAGGCCGAAUCAUGGGCAUUAAACCCAUGCCAAGUCUCAGGGAGGCUUUUUCAGAGGUUAGGCGUGAAGAAAGUAGAAAGAAAGUGAUGAUGGGAUCCAAAGAACAACCUGCCCCAACAUUGGAUGCCUCUGCCCUUGCUGCUCGGUCAUUUAAUAGUAGUGGUGGAGAUCGUCAGAAACAGGAUAGGCCUUGGUGUGAUUAUUGUAAGAAAUUAGGCCAUUAUAAGGAGACUUGUUGGAAGCUUCAUGGCAAAUCGGCUGAUUGGAAACCAAAGCCACGGUUUGACAGAGAUGGCAGAGCACACGUGGCUGCCAACUCUGAGAGCACAUCUGUUCCCAAGCCGAGUCCAUUCAACAAAGAGCAGAUGGAGAUGCUACAGAAACUAUUAAGCCAAGUUGGUAGUGGCAGUACUACCGGUGUAGCCUUCACUGCUAAUCGAGGAGGAAUGAAGUCGUGGAUAGUGGACACAGGUGCUUCUGAUCACAUGACAGGAGAUGCUGCCAUUCUUCAAAAUUACAAGCCAAGUAAUGGUCAUUCAUCCGUCCAUAUUGCUGAUGGUUCAAAGUCAAAAAUUGCCGGGACAGGUUCUAUAAAACUUACUAAAGACUUAUAUCUUGACUCUAUCCUCUAUGUUCCAAACUUGGAUUGUAAUCUUUUGUCCAUUAGCAAAUUGGCCCGUGAUCUCCAAUGUGUUACUAAAUUCUAUCCAAACUCGUGUGUUUUUCAGGACUUGAAAUUGAGGAAGAUGAUUGGCAGUGCUGAAUUGUGUUCCGGGCUCUACCUCCUCUCAUGUGGCCAAUUCUCAAACCAAAUCUCUCAAGCAAGUUGCGUAUAGUCUCAGAGUAUGUUAGAGUCUUUCAAUUCUGUGUCAAAUUCUAAGGUCAAUAAAGAUAGUGAGAUUAUAAUGUUACACUAUCGCCUUGGUCAUCCUAGCUUUGUUUACCUUGCAAAAUUGUUUCCCAAAUUAUUUAUCAAUAAAAAUCCAGCAUCUUAUCACUAUGAAAUUUGUCAGUUUGCAAAGCAUACUCGAACGGUAUAUCCUCAAAUCCCAUACAAACCUUCGACUGUUUUCUCUCUAGUACAUAGUGAUGUGUGGGGUCCCUCCCGGAUAAAAAAUAUUUCUGGCACUCGAUGGUUUGUGACAUUCGUUGAUGAUCAUACACGGGUAACAUGGGUUUUCCUUAUGAAAGAAAAGUCAGAGGUCGGGCACAUUUUUCAAACCUUCAAUCUUAUGGUUCAAAAUCAAUUCAAUUCCAAAAUUCAAGUCCUCAAGUCAGAUAAUGCAAAGGAAUACUUUACUAGUAGUCUCAGUACUUAUCUUCAAAAUCAUGGCAUUAUCUACAUAAGUUCUUGCGUU
rnacentral:lncRNA from 1 species